rnacentral:rRNA from 1 species
GGUUAAGCGACUAAGCGUACACGGUGGAUGCCCUGGCAGUCAGAGGCGAUGAAGGACGUGCUAAUCUGCGAUAAGCGUCGGUAAGGUGAUAUGAACCGUUAUAACCGGCGAUUUCCGAAUGGGGAAACCCAGUGUGAUUCGUCACACUAUCAUUAACUGAAUCCAUAGGUUAAUGAGGCGAACCGGGGGAACUGAAACAUCUAAGUACCCCGAGGAAAAGAAAUCAACCGAGAUUCCCCAGUAGCGGCGAGCGAACGGGGAGGAGCCCAGAGCCUGAAUCAGUGUGUGUGUUAGUGGAAGCGUCUGGAAAGGCGCGCGAUACAGGGUGACAGCCCCGUACACAAAAAUGCACAUGCUGUGAGCUCGAUGAGUAGGGCGGGACACGUGGUAUCCUGUCUGAAUAUGGGGGGACCAUCCUCCAAGGCUAAAUACUCCUGACUGACCGAUAGUGAACCAGUACCGUGAGGGAAAGGCGAAAAGAACCCCGGCGAGGGGAGUGAAAAAGAACCUGAAACCGUGUACGUACAAGCAGUGGGAGCACGCUUAGGCGUGUGACUGCGUACCUUUUGUAUAAUGGGUCAGCGACUUAUAUUCUGUAGCAAGGUUAACCGAAUAGGGGAGCCGAAGGGAAACCGAGUCUUAACUGGGCGUUAAGUUGCAGGGUAUAGACCCGAAACCCGGUGAUCUAGCCAUGGGCAGGUUGAAGGUUGGGUAACACUAACUGGAGGACCGAACCGACUAAUGUUGAAAAAUUAGCGGAUGACUUGUGGCUGGGGGUGAAAGGCCAAUCAAACCGGGAGAUAGCUGGUUCUCCCCGAAAGCUAUUUAGGUAGCGCCUCGUGAAUUCAUCUCCGGGGGUAGAGCACUGUUUCGGCAAGGGGGUCAUCCCGACUUACCAACCCGAUGCAAACUGCGAAUACCGGAGAAUGUUAUCACGGGAGACACACGGCGGGUGCUAACGUCCGUCGUGAAGAGGGAAACAACCCAGACCGCCAGCUAAGGUCCCAAAGUCAUGGUUAAGUGGGAAACGAUGUGGGAAGGCCCAGACAGCCAGGAUGUUGGCUUAGAAGCAGCCAUCAUUUAAAGAAAGCGUAAUAGCUCACUGGUCGAGUCGGCCUGCGCGGAAGAUGUAACGGGGCUAAACCAUGCACCGAAGCUGCGGCAGCGACGCUUAUGCGUUGUUGGGUAGGGGAGCGUUCUGUAAGCCUGUGAAGGUGUGCUGUGAGGCAUGCUGGAGGUAUCAGAAGUGCGAAUGCUGACAUAAGUAACGAUAAAGCGGGUGAAAAGCCCGCUCGCCGGAAGACCAAGGGUUCCUGUCCAACGUUAAUCGGGGCAGGGUGAGUCGACCCCUAAGGCGAGGCCGAAAGGCGUAGUCGAUGGGAAACAGGUUAAUAUUCCUGUACUUGGUGUUACUGCGAAGGGGGGACGGAGAAGGCUAUGUUGGCCGGGCGACGGUUGUCCCGGUUUAAGCGUGUAGGCUGGUUUUCCAGGCAAAUCCGGAAAAUCAAGGCUGAGGCGUGAUGACGAGGCACUACGGUGCUGAAGCAACAAAUGCCCUGCUUCCAGGAAAAGCCUCUAAGCAUCAGGUAACAUCAAAUCGUACCCCAAACCGACACAGGUGGUCAGGUAGAGAAUACCAAGGCGCUUGAGAGAACUCGGGUGAAGGAACUAGGCAAAAUGGUGCCGUAACUUCGGGAGAAGGCACGCUGAUAUGUAGGUGAAGUCCCUCGCGGAUGGAGCUGAAAUCAGUCGAAGAUACCAGCUGGCUGCAACUGUUUAUUAAAAACACAGCACUGUGCAAACACGAAAGUGGACGUAUACGGUGUGACGCCUGCCCGGUGCCGGAAGGUUAAUUGAUGGGGUCAGCGCAAGCGAAGCUCUUGAUCGAAGCCCCGGUAAACGGCGGCCGUAACUAUAACGGUCCUAAGGUAGCGAAAUUCCUUGUCGGGUAAGUUCCGACCUGCACGAAUGGCGUAAUGAUGGCCAGGCUGUCUCCACCCGAGACUCAGUGAAAUUGAACUCGCUGUGAAGAUGCAGUGUACCCGCGGCAAGACGGAAAGACCCCGUGAACCUUUACUAUAGCUUGACACUGAACAUUGAGCCUUGAUGUGUAGGAUAGGUGGGAGGCUUUGAAGUGUGGACGCCAGUCUGCAUGGAGCCGACCUUGAAAUACCACCCUUUAAUGUUUGAUGUUCUAACGUGGACCCGUAAUCCGGGUUGCGGACAGUGUCUGGUGGGUAGUUUGACUGGGGCGGUCUCCUCCUAAAGAGUAACGGAGGAGCACGAAGGUUGGCUAAUCCUGGUCGGACAUCAGGAGGUUAGUGCAAUGGCAUAAGCCAGCUUGACUGCGAGCGUGACGGCGCGAGCAGGUGCGAAAGCAGGUCAUAGUGAUCCGGUGGUUCUGAAUGGAAGGGCCAUCGCUCAACGGAUAAAAGGUACUCCGGGGAUAACAGGCUGAUACCGCCCAAGAGUUCAUAUCGACGGCGGUGUUUGGCACCUCGAUGUCGGCUCAUCACAUCCUGGGGCUGAAGUAGGUCCCAAGGGUAUGGCUGUUCGCCAUUUAAAGUGGUACGCGAGCUGGGUUUAGAACGUCGUGAGACAGUUCGGUCCCUAUCUGCCGUGGGCGCUGGAGAAUUGAGGGGGCUGCUCCUAGUACGAGAGGACCGGAGUGGACGCAUCACUGGUGUUCGGGUUGUCAUGCCAAUGGCACUGCCCGGUAGCUAAAUGCGGAAGAGAUAAGUGCUGAAAGCAUCUAAGCACGAAACUUGCCCCGAGAUGAGUUCUCCCUGACUCCUUGAGAGUCCUGAAGGAACGUUGAAGACGACGACGUUGAUAGGCCGGGUGUGUAAGCGCAGCGAUGCGUUGAGCUAACCGGUACUAAUGAACCGUGAGGCUUAACCUU